rnacentral:rRNA from 1 species
UACGUAGGGGCAAGCGUUGUCCGGAAUCAUUGGGCGUAAAGAGCGUGUAGGCGGCCAGAUAAGUCCGCUGUGAAAUCUCGAGGCUCAACUUCGAGCUGUCGGUGGAAACUGUCUGGCUAGAGUCCGGAAGAGGAGAAUGGAAUUCCUGGUGUAGCGGUGAAAUGCGCAGAUAUCAGGAAGAACACCCGUGGCGAAGGCGGUCUCUGGGACGGUACUGACGCUGGAGACGGCGAAAGCGUGGGGAGCGAACAGG